CUCUACUACCUGAAAAUACUAAGGUGGGCACUAGCCUUGGACAAACAGAGAAACCGAGGGCAGACAUUUCAGACAAGGUUUCAUAGAAGGGAACAGCACGCCCAGGGGUCAAAAAGUCGAAGCCAGCCUCGGGCCCUCAUGAAAGAGACUCAUGCCUGGCUUCCGGCCUCAUGGGACUCAUGCCUGGCUUCUGAGCACUCAGGAGGCUGAAGCAAGAAGAUUCCAAAUACUGAGGCAGUCAAGACUACCUUAUGUCAAGGAUGGGCGGGGUGGCUCAGUAGUGGAGACUCCCACGUGACAGGCACAUGGCACCGAGUUCCAUCAGCGUGGGACAAAAGGCGCUACCCUCUGCUGUAGGGCCACGCAGGGCCUGGCUGUAACGUUCUAUAAAGGACUUCAGAGACUCCGGGGUGUUUGGGUGAAACAGCCUGUUUUCAGUUUUGCUACAGUAGAUCACACUCUUGUUCAUCCCUCACCAACUGACAGGCUAAACAGAAUCCCGAGCCAGAAGUGUGACAUGGUUUAGUCUCACCAAUGUGGUGGUGGUGGUCAUCAUCCCAGUACUCUGUCUGGAAGCAGAGACAGGAGGACCAGGAGUUCGAGGUCCCCCUUGGCUACAAGCCCCUUCCCUCACAUCUAGGCAGGAAAGCUCCAACCUGGCACGUCUGUCAACCUAGUUCACGAGACAAGGUAUGGGAUGACAGAUUUAAUGCUAGCCUGGGCUAGCUCCUGUCACGGGAGGGGGAGGUGAAUCGUGCUGGAUGAACCUUGAAGGGUAAGCCGAAGGGACUGAGCCUUUCUUUUCACAGCGUGCCUGCCUGAGGUCCCAGCACACACGCCGAGACUGCAAACCCAAGCCCCUGUGUUCUGGACCACGAGCGAAGGGACCACCACAGAGGCACACAGAGGCCUCCACAACUCUGCCCCUCGUCACCAGAGCCAGCCCACCCAAUCCCAAGCACCCUCCUCACUUUCCUGUAGUCUUAAUUCACAAGGCAGAAGGAAGACCCACGCCCCAGGGCCACUGUGAUGCUACUUAGGAGGUGACCAACCCUGGAGCCUCCAGUCUCUCUGCCUGUCUGCCCUCCCUUAGGGCCACCCACAGCUGCUCUACUCAUAGCUGGGACCUCAGUGGGAACAGCAAGGCCUUGGGAAGGACGGGGACAUAUUACAACCCCUCUGAGUCAGUUUCGUCACCUGGCCUGUGGCCAUCCUGAUAACAGCCAUGCAGGAUGCUGGGAGGUGUGUGUGGAGUUUCACAGGAGCCUUCCAGAGGCUGGGCAACAGGGUGCAGCCCCGCCUCAGCAGUACUCAGUACACCUGGCACCCUCUGCCGGAUUCCAAGACGGUCUCCUGGGUGGGAACGGGCGAAGCCCAGGCCCGGCACCCUGGAGCACCAAGGCAAGAGGACUCCGGCCUCCUUCUCGGCUUCCGCGAACAAUGGGCCAAGGACACUGGGGACUGGGGCGCACACAUGUCAAACUUGGCAGGGAAGCAGCUGAGAGCAGCCCCUAACCCCGGAGAGGGAGACACCCUCCUCCUCCUCCCCUCCUCCUCACAGAGUGGGGCCUAAACAAGCCACUUUCCCCUUCCCCAAUGCGGAGUUGCUGCCGUUAUUAAAAAGAACACCAUGUGUUUUAAAAGGAAAAAGUGUGAGCUUCCCUGAAAGGCCAGCGGGAAGGUGGCCUCCAUCCCAGCCAUCCCCCAGGGGUCGCCAUCUCCUGUCCCGCUGGUACCUGCACACUUUUACGACCUGCGGCUGGCCGGUCAGGUGCUAAGGCACACCACACCGUAAGUACAAACAGAUUGCAGAGGUGUGAGAACCUCAUUUAAUUUCUCUUCCCCUUAAAGGAAAAACACACCGCCACCCCCACCCUGCCACCCUUGCCGUUGCUCUGCAGCUCGCCCGGAAACCAAGCUUGGCGCUACUGGUGGCAUUCAAAGACUACCUGCAGCCUGGCAGAGGGACCCUAGAAAGGCUCCAGGUUGUCACCCCAUCACCUGCCCAGACGCCCUGGGCAAGCUGGAGUGUGGGUCCAUUUCUGGAGAGGGGUGUCCACAGCCAAACAACACAGGCUACUAGCCCCAAAGCAGCAACGCAGCGUGGUGCCCCAGAGGUGUGGCCUGUGUCCUCAGAUGGGGUACAGAGAGUAGAAAAGUCCUCCAGCGUACUCAGCCAAAUGCGUGCCCCGGUGUUGCCUCCACUGUGGAAUGAAUGUGGGACCGUGCGUGCGUGCGUGCGUGCGUGUGUGUGUGUGUGUGUGUGUGUCGAGGUUGGAAUGCAAGCGCCGCGAUGGUGUGCGAAUACGCAUCUGGGCUGCAGCGCGCGUCGGAGGGCAGGGUGACGGGACACAAGCCAGCGGGGCUCUUUUGUGUGUCUCUGGGUGUGUCCCAGAGAGGGUCUGGAUGUGGAGAACGUAUCCUGGCGGAGUGUGUGCGUUGGGUGAUGGGGCCCAAGGCCAGGAGUUCCUCCAGCGACAGUGGGGUUCUCUCGGCAGCUGAUCCCCACUGGGUACCCCUUACACAAUGAAGUCUGGGCCCGCGGUGCCCGGACACGCUGGCUCUCGCUCCUUUUCACUGAGAUUUCGGUAGCUGCAGGCUUUCAACCCGGCGCAGCCUGAAUGAGACUGGUUGUAAGCCCCAUUGAUGGAGGGGACUUCGAGGGUCCCAAAGCGUGGGGUUCGUUGCAGGGGGGAGGGGGCGGC